UAAUAAUUUUGCAAAAGAAAAAAAAAAAUUAAACAAAAACUAAAAACAAAGCUUGUUUUCGAUAAAAAAAAACUUAUUACAAAUAUAAACCAAGUUUGCUCAAAACAAUCGAAAAAGAGUUCAAAGCCAAUUGAGUACUACUUAAAGUACGAAAAUGCGUGUAAAUAAAGUAAAAAGCACUACCAAUCCAAAUAGUACACCAGAAUUUACAAAUAUAAUGCGCUUAAUUUAGCAGAAUUUAGAAAAUCGUUAAUUAAAUUAAAUUAAGUAUAUAAUUCUUUUUUGGUAUUUUGAAAAAGAAUUUGGAAUUUUUGUUAAACUCAUUACAAGUCGCAAAAAUUAAUUAAUUAAAGAACACUGUGAGUAGUAGCCUCGUAUAUUCCCUGUUCGCCUGUCAUAUUUAUGAUAUCCUCCAAUACUCAUUUGUUGUUUGUUUUUUAUUAUUUAUUUAUUAACUAUUUUACGCUCAUUUCAUCAUAUUACCUUUUUGUGUUAUUUUCUGUGUGAGAGUAGGCGCGAUAGCUACACGAUGAAUUUGUAUACGUUGAAUAAAGAAGUUUAUUGUUUCAGUUAAUGAUGGACUAAUUUGAAUUUAGCGAGAUCAGAACUGAUAAGUUAUGUAUUAUAUAUGUACAUAUGUAUUAGGUAUGUAAAGCGAUUGAGUUUGAAUUAAUUUAUUAGCGCUUAAAAUUUAAUUUAAUGGCAAUUCAAGUAAUGAGAAUUACUAUAUAUAAUACAGGGCUAAACAACUGCGGUAAAUGCAUAUAUGUAGUUAAAACACAGCAAAUAUGUACUUAUACUGAACGUAUGGAAGACACAGAUAAGACAAUUAAUGUAGUAGAAUUGUAUGUGAACACCGAGAAUAAUGAUAAUUUCAUACGAGUUUAUGGCAUUUUUUCAAUUAAUGGAGAAAACUGAAAAACAUAAUUACACAUAUAUAAAACGAAUGUAUUAGACUAGAUAAAGAGAAUUAUGAACAAUUUUUUUCAGUAUAUACUACACCACUCUGAUUUAGGCACAGUUUCCAAAGCGAGUAUUUUCAUUUAAUUAGUAAUGAUUUUUGAGAUUAGUCGAAUUAAAGAAUUAUGUGGUGCAGCAUAUUAGUUAACUAUAAUUGUUAUUUGGUUUGAGUUUGGCAACAAAUGGCAAUCCUUUGAACAUAAAUGAAAAUACAUUUCAUAAUAAUUAAAUUGUAACAUUGUAGGAAAUAACACAUUUAAUAAUUAUGUAGAGAGUUAUAUAUAAAGGAUUUUUCGAUAGGACGCUACAAAAGUUCACCGAUAUAGGGAAACGUAAACGACGCCAUAUUUUCCUCUUUGACAUUCUCUUCAGUAAGGUUUGCCAUUUCAUCAUGAAAAGAUGUAUGAGCCAACAACGAGUCGAAAUUAUUAAAAUUUACUUGCGAAAUUCGGAGUCAGUGGCCUCAACUUUAAGAGCGCUACUGAGACAAAGAAUUGCCCGUAGUGUCGAGAAUAUGGCUGCCCUUAGCGCAUAUUGAGGAAGACCCAAAUCAGUCUCUCACACGUCGUUCUCAAGUGUUGGGCAUGUCUGUGACGUCGUUGUGGCGAAUUUUUUGAAAAGAUCUUGGUCUACAUUCCUUACAAGAUCAUAUAGACGCAUGAACUGAAUACGCUUGACCACCAUAAUCGUCAUAUGUUCGUGAAUUGGACUGAGUAAUAACUUGAAAAUUAUCGGGAUUUUCAUCGAAAAAUCAUUUUUAGCGAUGAGGCUCAUUUCUGACUGAAUGACUUCGUCAAUAAGCAAAAGAUGGGGUCAGGCACAAGAAUAAAGAAUUUCAUUGAUAUCCUAAACCGUUUUUGUUUUAUUUAAUAAUUUUGUAGCGCCCUUAUUGAAAAACCCUUUAUAGUUAGUAUGUAGAAAAGUUAUAUAUAAAAAUGUAAUUAGCAUUUAAACGUAUAUUAGUCAGUCAAGUGAUAGUGUGAACAGUAGAAG